rnacentral:rRNA from 1 species
UACGGAGGGGACUAGCGUUGUUCGGAAUUACUGGGCGUAAAGCGCACGUAGGCGGAUUUGUUAGUCAGGGGUGAAAUCCCGGGGCUCAACCUCGGAACUGCCUUUGAUACUGCAAAUCUCGAGUCCGAUAGAGGUGGGUGGAAUUCCUAGUGUAGAGGUGAAAUUCGUAGAUAUUAGGAAGAACACCGGUGGCGAAGGCGGCCCACUGGAUCGGUACUGACGCUGAGGUGCGAAAGCGUGGGGAGCAAACAGG